rnacentral:rRNA from 1 species
CGGGAAGAGCUCAAAUUUGAAAUCUGGUAGCCUUCGGCUGCCCGAGUUGUAAUCUAGAGAAGUGUUUUCCGUGCCGGCCCAUGUACAAGUCCCUUGGAACAGGGCGUCAUAGAGGGUGAGAAUCCCGUCCUUGACAUGGACCCCCGGUGCUUUGUGAUACACUUUCAACGAGUCGAGUUGUUUGGGAAUGCAGCUCAAAAUGGGUGGUGAAUUCCAUCUAAAGCUAAAUAUUGGCGAGAGACCGAUAGCGAACAAGUACCGUGAGGGAAAGAUGAAAAGCACUUUGGAAAGAGAGUUAAACAGUACGUGAAAUUGUUGAAAGGGAAACGAUUGAAGUCAGUCAUGCUCUUUGGAUUCAGCCGUUCUGCGGUGUAUUUCCAUUGAGUGGGGUCAACAUCAGUUUUGAUCGCUGGAUAAAGGCACUAGGAAGGUAGCACUCUCGGGUGAACUUAUAGCCUAGCGUCAUAUACAGUGAUUGGGACUGAGGAACGCAGCAUGCCUUUAUGGCCGGGAUUCGUCCACGUACAUGCUUAGGAUGUUGACAUAAUGGCUUUAAACGACCCGUCUUGAAACACGGA